UGCGUAGGCGGCCCAGUAAGUCAGUGGUGAAAUCCUGCCGCUUAACGGUAGAACUGCCAUUGAAACUGCUGGGCUUGAGUACAGUUGAGGUAGGCGGAAUGUGUAGUGUAGCGGUGAAAUGCUUAGAUAUUACACAGAACCCCGAUUGCGAAGGCAGCUUACUAAACUGUAACUGACACUGAGGUACGAAAGCGUGGGGAGCGAACAGGAUUAGAUACCCUGGUAGUCC
rnacentral:rRNA from 1 species